rnacentral:rRNA from 1 species
UACGUAGGGUGCAAGCGUUAUCCGGAAUUAUUGGGCGUAAAGAGCUCGUAGGCGGUUUGUCGCGUCUGCUGUGAAAACUGGAGGCUCAACCUCCAGCCUGCAGUGGGUACGGGCAAACUAGAGUGCGGUAGGGGAGAUUGGAAUUCCUGGUGUAGCGGUGGAAUGCGCAGAUAUCAGGAGGAACACCGGUGGCGAAGGCGGGUCUCUGGGCCGAUACUGACGCUGAGGAGCGAAAGCGUGGGGAGCGAACAGG